UCCGCUGUUCUCGUCGGGGAUCUGGCAGUGAAAAACGGGAAAAAAGCCACGGACGCCGUCUUGGUAGAACAGCAAAGGGAAACGCCUACUUCCACCUUCUUUUCAACGCAACGGCAUUGGGAACCGGAAGGCGACUGAAACAGCUGCAACAUCCACACCAACUCUACCGAGUGCGGCAACGAAGAUGUCCGGUGAAAUUUCAACAUCGCGACUGCCCCGGCAGUAUCAGAAUUCACUGGAUGGCUGUUUGUUACAGGUUAUUGCUGUUAGCUUUUUCCGGAGGGGAAGAUUGUGGGCAUCAUUAGAACCGGACAAAACACACCAAUCAAAUGUCCAGAAUUCCAGGGGUCGUUAUUGACCAGACUGUCCUUUGAAAUCAUCAAUUGCCGGAAAGAAGAUUUCAUACCGAAAUUCGCAGUAAGAAUGGCCAAUACUGUCCCAUCUAACCAGGCAUGGCAGCUAGUGCAUCAAUCGCCAGAUUCAUCCGGAUCAUUAACAAAUGUAAGUUGACAUCAAUUUAAUAAAGAAACUAAAAUCCAA